rnacentral:tRNA from 6 species
GCCCGGAUAGCUCAGUUGGUAGAGCAGUGGAUUGAAGAUCCUCGUGUCACCAGUUCGAGUCUGGUUCUGGGCA